rnacentral:rRNA from 1 species
CCCUUAGAUGUUCUGGGCCGCACGCGUGCUACACUGAUGCAUUCAACGAGUCUAAAACCUGGUCUGAUAGGGCUGGGUAAUCUUUUGAAAGUGCAUCGUGAUUGGGAUAGAUGAUUGCAAUUCUUCAUCUUCAACGAGGAAUGCCUAGUAAACGCAAGUCAUCAGCUUGCAUUGAUUACGUCCCUGCCCUUUGUACACACCGCCCGUCGCUCCUACCGAUUGAAUGAUCCGAUGAAUACCAUGGAUUGAGAGUACGAAUAGGUUCGCCUAUUUCUGCUGCUCGAGAAGUGGAGUAAAUCUUAUCAUUUAGAGGAAGGAGAAGUCGUAACA